UGUGUCCAGUCCUGGUCCUGGAGGGGUCAGUCAGUGUGUGUCCAGUCCUGGUCCUGGAGGGGUCAGUCAGUGGUCAGGCUGAAGAGGUGGGGGGAUAACAUGAGAAUGAGAAAAGGGAGGAGUUUGGAGCAUAUUUACAGUUUUUAUUUUUCUCCCUGUACUAACCCUAAAAAUUAAAAGAAUUCAAGUGAAGGAGAACAACAGACUUUACAACAGAUUUAACCGGCUUUCAAGAACAAAGACUCACAGUCAAAACCUCUCUCGCGGUGGUUAACACGCAAAGGAACUACAAUACCCAUCAUUCAUUUCCCACGCAGCAAGCACGCAAAUAAUUGUUUUGCGUGCCACAAGUCCUUGUGGGAGAUGUAGUUUUUGUUUCUCCUCUACAUGAGCUGAAGAAGCUCCCUGCAGUGUCUUGUGGGAGAUGUAGUUUUUGUUUUUCCCUCUAUACAUGGACUUGGGACGUUUCCAGCAGAGGCUCAUGGAAGAUGUAGUUUUUUGUUUCUCCCCUACAUGGGCUGAGGAAGCGCCCUGCAGUGGAUUGUGGGAGAUGUAGUUUUUAUUUUUCCCUCCAUACAUGGGGUGAGGUAGCUCCCCACAGUGGCUUGUGGGAGGCGUAGUUUUUGUUUCUCCUCUACAUGGGCUGAGGGAGCUCCCCGCAGUGGCUUGUGGGAGGCGUAGUUUUUGUUUCUCCUCUACAUGGGCUGAGGGAGCUCCCCGCUGUGGCUUGUGGGAGGCGUAGUUUUUCAGUGCAGGAUGUCCAUGAGAAAGGCAGCUGAACCUUUCAGCCAAUUGAAGGAAAUGCUGUCCGCAGUCACUGCCUCCUGCUCGCCCAACUCAGCACCAUCAUCAUCCAUCCCAAGUCUGUCCUGUCCCACUGUACUGAACACUGUCCCCACUCCCCCACUGUACUGAACACUGUCCCAUCUCUCUCACCUUGUACUGAACACUGUGCCCUCUCACUGAACAAUGUCCCCUCUCUCUCACCUUGUACUGAACACCGUCCCCUCUCUGUAUUGAACACUUUCCUCUCCCCCACUGUACGGAACGCUGUCCCCUCUCACUGUACUGAACACUAUGCUCAUUCUCCUCCAGAUUUCUUUAUUUCUACACAUAAAUACACAAAAGUGAACUACACAACACACUCACCGACACCCUCUCACACUCAACACUCACACACACUGACUCACUCUCUCAUACUCACUGACACACUCAAUCACUCCCUCACACUCAUUGACACACUCUCACACUCACUGACACACUCAAUCACUCUCUCACACUCACUGACACACUCUCUCACACACACUGACUCUCACUCUCUCACACUCAUUGACACACUCAAUCACUCUCUCACACUCACUGACACACUCUCUCACACUCAUUGACACACUCAAUCACUCUCUCACACACACUGACUCUCACUCUCUCACACUCACUGACUCUCACUCUCUCACACCCAGUGACACUCCCCCUCUCACCCCCAGGUCACGUGACGUCCCCCUCGCUCACACUCACCUCGCACACCUCCUCCUCCUCCUCC
rnacentral:lncRNA from 1 species